UAUUUAACACCUAUUGCUCUAGAUUGAUUUUAAUAUCAAUUGAAACAUCAUAAAUUGACUGAUCUCAAACGACAAUCAAAGUAACUCCCAACAUACUCUCAAACUUCUCCCUAAUACUACUACCUCUUGAUUUCACGAACAUCAAUCAGAAAAAUAAUUUCCCAAACCCCUCUGCCGAAACCACCGUUGCUCUGCCGAUACCACCGAUCCCUGCUGCCACCGUUGGUCAGCCGUACGUCGGAGAGGACUCAAGCCCGUAAGCUGCCUGCUGCCGCCGUUCACCGCUCUGGCCUCCCGUGCUUCGUCAUCCACCCAUAAAAUAUUCCGUGACCUUAUAGUGAAUCAUGUCAAACCUUGCAAUACUCGAAUUUGUUGCUCUUGAUAUUACUGGAAACAACUAUCUAUCUUGAGUGUUAGAUGCUGAAAUACAUUUAGAUGCAAAGGGACUUGGUGAUACUAUUAAAGAAAACAACACUGCAACAAGCCAAGAUAAGGCUAAAACUAUGAUAUUCCUUCGCCAUCACCUUCAUGAAGGUCUUAAGACUGAGUACUUGACUGUUAAAGACCCACAAGUCCUUUGGAGUAAUCUAAAGGAAAGGUAUGACCACCAGAAAUCUGUGAUAUUACCAAAAGCUCGUUAUGACUGGUUACAUUUAAGAUUAUAAGACUUUAAGUCUGUGAGUGAAUACAACUCAGCCAUGUUUAGAAUUACAUCACAAUUGAAAUUAUGUGGAGAGAAAAUCACGGAUGCAAAAAUGUUAGAAAAAAACAUACUCUACUUUUCAUGCAAACAAUGUUGUCGUGCAGACACAAUACCGUGAAAAGGGUUUUACAAAAUAUUCUGAA